rnacentral:rRNA from 1 species
UUGCCUACGGGGCGCAGCAGUGAGGAAUAUUGGUCAAUGGGCGAGAGCCUGAACCAGCCAAGUCGCGUGAGGGAAGACGGUCCUAUGGAUUGUAAACCUCUUUUGUCGGGGAGCAACGGGGCAGUGUUGUGCCCUCUGAGAGUACCCGAAGAAAAAGCAUCGGCUAACUCCGUGCCAGCAGCCGCGGUAAUACGGAGGAUGCGAGCGUUAUCCGGAUUUAUUGGGUUUAAAGGGUGCGUAGGCCGAAGAUUAAGUCAGUGGUAAAAUUGCGGGG